UACGUAGGGGGCAAGCGUUGUCCGGAUUUAUUGGGCGUAAAGAGCGUGUAGGCGGCCUGACAAGUCUGCUGUGAAAACUCGAGGCUCAACCUCGAGAUGUCGGCGGAAACUGUCUGGCUAGAGUCCGGAAGAGGAGAGUGGAAUUCCUGGUGUAGCGGUGAAAUGCGCAGAUAUCAGGAAGAACACCGAUAGCGAAGGCAGCUCGCUGGGACGGUACUGACGCUAAGGCGCGAAAGCGUGGGGAGCGAACAGG
rnacentral:rRNA from 1 species